AUGAGGGCCCUCAUUCAGCUCCUGGGUUGUCUGCUGCUCUGGCUUACAGGUGCCAGAUGUGACAUCCAGAUGACCCAGUCUCCAGCCUCCCUGUCUACAUCUCUGGGAGACAGUGUCACCAUUACAUGCCUUGCAAGUGAGAACAUUUAUGGUAAUUUAGCAUGGUAUCAGCAGAAACCAGGAAAACCUCUUAAGCUCCUGAUCUAUGGUACGAACAGCUUGGCAGAUGGGGUCCCAUCAAGGUUCAGUGGCAGUAGAUCUGGUACACAGUAUUCUCUCAAGAUCAGUGGCCUGCAGCCUGAAGAUGUUGUAACUUAUUACUGUCAACAGGGUAACAGUUACCCUCCCACAGUGAUUCAAGCCAUGAUAUAA